UGAGGAAUAUUGGUCAAUGGACGCAAGCCUGAACCAGCCAAGUAGCGUGCAGGAUGACGGCCCUAUGGGUUGUAAACUGCUUUUAUAUGGGGUUAAAGUGGGGAAUGUGUUCCCUUUUGCAGGUACCAUAUGAAUAAGGACCCGCUAAUUCCGUGCCAUCAGCUGCGGUAAUACGGAAGGUUCGGGCGUUAUCCGGAUUUAUUGGGUUUAAAGGGAGCGUAUGCCGUUUGGUAAGGGUGUUGUGAAAUGUAGGAGCUCAACUUCUAGAUUGCAGCGCGAACUGUCAGACUUGAGUGCGCGAAACGUAAGCGGAAUUCAUGGUGUAGCGGUGAAAUGCUUAGAUAUCACUAAGAACACCGAUUGCGAAGGCAGCUUACGGGAGCGCAACUGACGCUGAAGCUCGAAAGAGCGGGUAUCGAACAGG
rnacentral:rRNA from 1 species